ACCUCGGUGGUCCAGUGACAGAACGCGUCCUCGGUAUGGGUGAGACGCGGGUUCAACUCUCGCCUAAGGUU